UAAAUACUCCCUCCGUCCGGAAAUACUUGUCAUCAAAAUGGAUAAAAGGAAAUGUAUCUAGACGUAUUUUAGUUUUAGAUACAUCUCUUUUUAUCCAUUUUGAUGGCAAGUAUUUUCGGACGGAGGGAGUAGAAA
rnacentral:pre_miRNA from 1 species